ACCAGACUCCUACGGGAGGCAGCAGUGGGGGAUAUUGCACAAUGGGGGGAACCCUGAUGCAGCGACGCCACGUGGGUGAAGAAGCGCCUCGGCGCGUAAAGCCCUGUCAGCAGGGAAGAAAAUGACGGUACCUGAAGAAGAAGCCCCGGCUAACUACGUGCCAGCAGCCGCGGUAAUACGUAGGGGGCAAGCGUUAUCCGGAUUUACUGGGUGUAAAGGGGGCGCAGACGGCGAUGCAAGCCAGGAGUGAAAGCCCGGGGCCCAACCCCGGGACUGCUCUUGGAACUGCGUGGCUGGAGUGCAGGAGGGGCAGGCGGAAUUCCUGGUGUAGCGGUGAAAUGCGUAGAUAUCAGGAGGAACACCGGUGGCGAAGGCGGCCUGCUGGACUGCAACUGACGUUGAGGCCCGAAAGCGUGGGGAGCAAACAGGAUUAGAUACCCCCGUAA
rnacentral:rRNA from 1 species